rnacentral:siRNA from 1 species
GUCCUCCCUGGAAAGGUCUGCAGC